rnacentral:rRNA from 1 species
AUGUCUCUCCACCUCUUGGUUUGUAGAUCUAGGUCGGACACAUCUGCAAGGCUCUCAAGAACAUCUUUCAUGCUUGUGAGCUCAUCACUGAUGAACUUCACCUCCUUCCUCAGGUUCUUCAGCUUGGAGAACUCGUCACCCAUUAGGGUGGCCAGCUUACCCAGCAGGGGUUUCAUCACGCCAGUAGAAACACUCACCGCCAUUGCAGCCGCCAUAUCUUGUUCUUCUUCUUUGCUUCACCCAAAAAAGAAAAAGGAAAUCUUGCUCUUGAUCAGAUCGAUUCGUUCUCUAGUUAUGCAUCUGCAGUAUUAA